rnacentral:lncRNA from 1 species
AUUCCACAUUUCUACCUUAAAACAAUACCCCUCUUUCUCCACUUCAUCACCACAGCAUUCCCCAUCAUCCAGUUCUCACUUUUAUAAUUCCUCUAGAUCAUAACUCUAUUUGAAUUCAUUCAGGUCUAGAUUUGGAAACAAAACCCAGUUUUACAAGCCUUGUCACUGACCAUGAACUAUUCAAUUUAAUCCCCAAAUGCUAAGAAACUAGAACAAUACCUGUACACGGCAGUGCUCAAUAAAAAUCUGCUGAGAGCACAACCAGAAGGACCACGACUACAAUAUACAGCUAUUUACUGGGCGGCUUUGGGGAGAAGAAGAAAAAGGAAAAAGAAACAGAGAAGAUUGGCAACAGAUGUUAGCUAAGAUGCAAGGCCAAAGGGACAAAGAAGCCCCUUUAUAUGAAAGUAUUCUCAUCUAUCCAUAAAACAAUCCUCAAAAUCAAAAGAAUUGGCUAAACCAACACUAUAAGAAGCUUUGAUAUUGUUUCGUGCUUUUGCGGGUGGAAACACAUAUUUUACAGAUUUUAUUCAUUUACUGUAAUCCAGUAGAUGGUGCUACAUGUCUGUAUAUGUAAAGUACAACAAAUGCCUUUUUUCUUUUUUCUUUUUGCCUUUUCUUUCUGUCUUUUUUAGCCAGAACUCUCAUCAAGGUCUACUAUUAUAAUGAAGCUCAUUAUUCCUGACAUCUGAGCCAAAUCUCUGGGUGCAGCAUUAAAGAUGUACUUAAGGAGAAAACCCCCCAGAAAUAAUUGUCGACCAAAUACCAACCUAACAAUCUAUUAGAAGGUUUUUUUCCUCAGCUCAUGCUUACUCUAAAAUAACAAAAUCUGUGGUGUCACACAGAACUCUGCGUCAGUCCAUCAAAAACAUCCAGAUGCAAAAUCGUAGUCCUUCUUAUUCUUUUAAACACUGCUAGUUGCUAUUAUUGUGAAGCAACCAUAACAAUGAUAAUUAACAAUGAAAGUUUAAAUUUAGGACUGUAAUGGAUAUAUCAACGUGUAAAUCAACCAUUUAAGAAGAUAGCAUAUGCUAAAAAACUUAGAUAUAUGAAAUUUUAUAAAUAUAAAGGUUGUUGUCGAAUCGGUGAUUAAGCUAACCAUACAAAUUAAUGUUUCUUUGUGAACCAUCAAAGAUUGGAAGCUUCCAAAAAGCAAGGACUCUAUUUAGGUAUCAGCACAAAUAAUCCAUAUCACUCAGCAACCUACAAACAGUUAAUUUAUGUUACU